UGGGAUGAUGACAUGAUCACUGCGCAAUCUGAGUUCUGGGAACCAGGUGAUGGAGUGUGCUGCUGAGGCCA